UUUUUUUCAGCUAAUUUUGGUUGAAUUUAGAAUAUUUUUGAUUCACAGCUUCUCUCUGUUAUGUGUCAGAUCCAGUUUAAAUGGAACCAGCUCAGUUUAAUGAGAUGAGAUGAGAUGUUCAGCUUGCAUAAGAUGGCUUUGGCUUUUACUCUGUUGGUUUUUGCCUGCUUAUGCUCGUUUGUGUCUUCAGAUGCUCAAGGGGAUGCACUGUUUGCGUUGAGGAUCUCGUUACGUGCAUUGC